UAUCGAAACACUUUUUUUGUUUUUCUUUGAGACAGGGUCUCACUCUGUGUCUCAGGCUGGAGUACAGUGGUGCAGUUGUAGAUGGUUGCAGCCCUCGACCUCCUGGGCUCAAGUGAUCCUCCUGCCUUAGCCUCUUGAGUAGCUGGGAGUACAGAUGCACACCACCACACCCAGGAACUGGUGAAGAUUUCCCCAGCAAAAAGUAGAAGCCGAGUGUUUCAUAGAUGAAGACUGGGGAGAUUGCAAAAGACCCAUCCAGCAGUGGUUCUCAGACCUCAGUGUGCAUCAGAAUCACCUGGAGGGCUUGUGAAAACACGUAUUGCUGGGCCACACCCCCAGAAUUUCUGGAUCAGUAAAGCUGGGAUUCUUACUUUGAGUAGCCAACUUGCAGAAUACAAUAGAAUUUUGGGAGGAACCCCUCGAUGCCUGGCUUUACUGUUGGAGAGACAGUACAGUAUACACCAGAUGACUUAUUUGUGAACCAUGGAAACGUUUGGAAAAGACAUUCUGGAUUGUGACCUGUUGGUGGGCCAUGAAAUCAAUCUGGGGUUGAGAGCAUCAUUCUUUUAAUAAAACAGAAGAGAAUCGUCUGCAGUAAGGAAUCAGGAGAAUCACUGACUGUUAACUCUUCCUGGUGAUUUAGUACUGAGUUCCUUGAGGUGGUCAUCUGAAAACUCCAAGUUUGAAACAAGAAAGAGUAUCAUCAUAAUUAUCAAACAUUUAUUAAAUUUCCCCCAUGUUCAAGGCACUAUCCUAGGUGUUUGGGCAUGAGACCUGAUUGUUGUCCACAGGCAGCUUAUGAAUCUGUCUGGAGAUAUUAGACACAGGGAUCUAUCUAUGCAAGGGCCAUACUCAGAAGUCAAAUAAUGAGGGAGUGAUAUAGGCAGUGGUUCCCAACUCAUGAGUCUGGGAAAUCCAGAGGAAGGGAAGACAACUUCUUGCUUGGGGAAUUGGGAAAGGAGGAGGUGGCAUAGAAAAUUAGUCUGGAGGACUGGGGUGUUUUAGGAUAGAAGAUUAGUGAAGAGCACCACAGGUUGGAAGAGGAAAUGAGAUGGCUUGAGGAAAAGCAGAGGUAGAAAAGGUCAAGGAAUGGCCUAUAGCCCAACUUGAAAUAAGACUGGAGAGUUGGUUGGGCACUGUGGAAAGAACCUUCAAUGUACCUGCCUUGCUUAGUUCCUGGGGAAAUUUACUCUAGAAUUGAAAAAGGCUUUUUGGAGGAAAACUCAAAACGCAAAUUCUUUCUUUCUUUUUUUUUUCUAGUUAAUAGUAAGUGGUAAAAACUCUAUUCAGAACAUAAUUAAACAGACUAGCUCCCAUGCUCUGAACUCCCAUAACACCUUGUAUUUCAACAUUCUCUAUUUCAACAUUCACUGUGUCUGUGAUUUACAUGGUUUGAGGCUUUUGCACCUGCUAGGUUAUAAGCUAGAUGAGGGCAGGAAAUGUUGGUUUUCUCACUGUUGUACUUC